CUUGUAUAUUUCACUUAGCUACCUAAAUCCAUUUCAGCUAUAGUCACAGAGAAAACUCGAAAGAAGACAGGAAUCCAAGGAUUGCCUAGAUGAUAAUUUACAACUCUAGCAAAAGCCAGCUGCUAUGCGGUGCGGACUUUCAGGCAGCUUUGCAGGGAGAUACAUGUGGCAAGGAACUGACAGGCCUUCAGCCAAAGGCACAUGACUGAGUCAUCUUGGAAGUGAACGCUCCACCUGCGAGAUGACUGUAGCCCUGGCUGACAUCUUGACUGCAACCUGCAAGACUUUAGGAGGCUCCAGAAACCAGCAGUAACCCAGGCCAGUGCAAAACCAAGAACAGCUGCAUUCGAA
rnacentral:lncRNA from 10 species